rnacentral:rRNA from 1 species
UACGGAGGGUGCAAGCGUUAUCCGGAUUCACUGGGUUUAAAGGGUGCGUAGGUGGGCUAGUAAGUCCGUGGUGAAAUCUCUGAGCUUAACUCGGAAACUGCCGUGGAUACUAUUAGUCUUGAAUCUCGUGGAGGUAAGCGGAAUAUGUCAUGUGGCGGUGAAAUGCUUAGAUAUGACAUAGAACACCGAUAGCGAAGGCAGCUUGCUACACGAGUAUUGACACUGAGGCACGAAAGCGUGGGGAUCAAACAGG